CAUCAAGAGUUGUACACUAUGAAUAUUGGGAAGCAAUCGAUAGCACAUUUGGUCUGCAAGGUGGGUUUAUUUGGGAUUGGGUUGACCAGGGGUUACUCAAGGAAAAUGCAAAUGGUAGCAAAUACUGGGCAUAUGGAGGUGACUUUGGAGAUACACCAAAUGACUUAAAUUUCUGCUUAAAUGGUCUCAUAUGGCCUGAUCGGACUCCUCAUCCUGCUCUAAAUGAGGUCAAGUAUUGCUAUCAACCAAUUAAAAUUUCCUUCACCAAUGGUGUAAUCAAG